rnacentral:rRNA from 1 species
UACAGGGGGGGCAAGCGUUGUUCGGAAUUACUGGGCGUAAAGGGCUCGUAGGUGGCCAACUAAGUCGGACGUGAAAUCCCUCAGCUUAACUGGGGAACUGCAUCCGAUACUGGAUGGCUUGAGUUUGGGAGAGGGAUGCGGAAUUCCAGGUGUAGCGGUGAAAUGCGUAGAUAUCUGGAGGAACACCGGUGGCGAAGGCGGCAUCCUGGACCAACACUGACGCUGAGGAGCGAAAGCCAGGGGAGCAAACAGG